rnacentral:lncRNA from 1 species
CCUCCAUGAGAGGUGGAUGGGGCACGAGCCCCGGGCAGCCUCCACCAGGUCUCCCUAGCCCGAAAUACAGACAACCCAUCUCUUGAUCAAAAAGACGUGUCCGUGUUCCAUCCUCCUUUGUUCAGGGAAGGCUGGCUGUGAGAGCUUUUGGAAGAAAUCUCCUCUCACCACAACAAAAGCAGGAGAACCUUGGCCCCUGAUUCCACAGCACAAGGAAGACACGCAAUUAGCUUCACUGCAAAGUGCUGCCAGAUGAAACUGGAAACACAACAAAUAAAAUCAUUAGCCAUCGGAAUUGGAAUUACCUUCCAAGGCUCAUGCUUGUACUUUUCUCUCGCUCGCUGUCUCUCUGACUCUCUUUCUCUGAUUCUCUCUCUCUCUCUCUUUCUCUCUCUCUGNNCUCUCUCUCUCUCUCUCUCUCUCUCUCUCUCUCUCUCUCUCUCUCUCUCUCUCUCUCUCUCUCUCUCUCUCUCUCUCUCUCUCUCUCUCUCUCUCUCUCUCUCUCUCUCUCUCUCUCUCUCUCUCUCUCUCUNNNNNNNNNNNNNNNNNNNNUGAUACUCCAAGGCUCAUGCUUGUACUUUCUCUCGCUCGCUGUCUCUCUGACUCUCUUUCUCUGAUUCUCUCUCUCUCUCUCUUUCUCUCUCUCUGACUCUCUCUCUGUCUCUCUCUCCCUCUCUCUGCCUCUUUAUCUCUGUCUGUCCCUUUCUGUCCCUCCAUCUCUGUCUUCCCCUUCUGUUUCUCUUUUCCCUCUCUUUCUCUCUUCCUAUCUUCCUCUCUCUUCCUCUUUCUCCUCUCUCCUCCUCUCUCUGUUUCCCAAACACCACUUUCGAUGGUGCUAAUGACUAUAUGGAAACUGAGUCCUGUGCCUGUGUGUGGGAGAAGAAGGCAGCAGACAGGAGUGCGUGUAACAUCUGCCAGGAUGCCCAGGAGCACAGAGGAGUGGAGUGCAUUCGCAGGACAAGCACAAGAAAGCCGAGAGUGCCGACGCCUCUCAGGCUGCCCACUGCCACACUGCCACCGCGAACCACCUGCUACAGCAGCCACACUCCAUCGAGGCAGAGAGGGCCAUGCACCUGCUGCAGACAGCAAGAGUGGAAGAACCUGGGAAGCUCUCUGCCGAUGCUCACAGCUGUCCUGGAAGAGGGAGUGGGGCCACCCAGCCCAGCUCAACUGCCCGGUAGAGCUCAAUUCCAUAGACGGUGGUCUCUGGGGACAGAGUGCCCCUCAGCUCCCAGGAAUGUGCCUGCGUGCUUCCCUCCCCGUGACACUUCCUUCCUCAGCUGGACAUGCGCUGAUGUCCACUUGUGAUGUGUUUAGCUUCACUGCAUGCCCGUGAGAGCCACGUGACCCUCAGCAGGACUUAUGAAGAUGUAACAUUGGACAUGGUAACAGAACAACCACACGAGAAUAAUCUCACAAGAUGGCCCAUCCGCAACAGGCUAGCACCUGGGCUACCCUGGACACAUGUGUUUCCUGCUGGAACAGUGACCGAGGGGACACUAAGGUCCCCCCAUCGGUGUGGGGUGUAUGGGAACUCUCUGUACUAUCUUUGUAAUUUUUCUGUAAGUUUAAAACUCUUAUAAGAAAUGAAGUUUAUUUUUAAAUCCUCGUCGUCUUGUCUGACCACCUGCUCUUCUGCAUGGG